GUUGUGGCUCAGUGGUAGAGCACUCGCCUUGCACGUGGGACACCCUGGGUUCGAUCUUCAGCACA
rnacentral:tRNA from 1 species